rnacentral:rRNA from 1 species
GACGAACGCUGGCGGCGCGCCUCAUACAUGCAAGUCGAACGAAAACUCGGAGCUUGCUCCGGGUGGACAGUGGCGAACGGGUGAGUAACACGUGAGAAACCUGCCCCGAAGACCGGGACAACACCGGGAAACCGGGUGCCGUAAUACCGGGAUGUCCUUACCGGACCGCAUGAUCUGGUAAGGAAAUGGAUUCCGCUUCGGGAUGGUCUCGCGGCCUAUCA